rnacentral:lncRNA from 1 species
UUUCCUCUCAAACUUCUCCCAUCCAUCUAGCCAAGCAUAACAACAAUUUAGUCAUCCUCAAGAUGGAGAACACCAUGGUAGCUUCGGAAUCGUGAAUUCUUCGGUGUUUCACUUUUCAUAGCAAGACUCUGCCUUGAAGUAAUUUCGAAUUUUGAGUAAUUCUGGUCACAUAAGGUAUGAUUUAACUUCUCUUUGAUCUUUAUAAACUUCUACCAUAAGAAUUCUUAAGAAAUAGUUGAAACCUCUAUAGAAAUAUUGUUGAUUUUUUUUAAGAAACCUCUCUUAAUAUGGCUUGAUUGUUGGGGCUGUUCUAUAUGGUUUUAUUGUGUUGUUUUGAUAUGUGAAGACAUGGAUGGAAUUAUGUUGAUGAGGAUAUGUAGUAAAGUAAAAUUUGGUGGUGUGUUGGGGGAAAAUUAAUCUACAAAAGAGUCUACAUAUUCAUGGUCACAAGUUGUUCGCGUAAAUGUCUAAAUGAAGAAUUAUUUAAGCUAUGAGCUUGAAUUUGAUUUUGAAUGGUUUGUAUUAUGUAGGAAAUCAUUCCUAAGGCUUUUGAGGUCUUGGAAACAGUAUAUAACUCCAUCGACAAGGUAUGUAGGGCUUUCGCUAUACUUUUCGGCAUGACUAGAAUUCGAAUAAACGUUUAUCGAAUUGUCUCGUCGGAUUCGAGUUAUUUCACCUUCAGCUUAUAAAGAUGCUUAGACCUGAUCUUUUCUCAUAGAUUGCUUACUCUAGAGGUUAUCUAUGAAUUCUCGGAUUUCCUUGUUCCUUGCUUAAAAAGAACUAGAGCCUUUUUACUCGUUCUCAUUUCGACAUUCAUAUAAAUCAUGAAUAAGGAACACUUACUUCAAAGGUAUUCAUAAUACAUA